rnacentral:rRNA from 1 species
CCUUUGUAUUAGGAAUUACCUGGUAGUCCACGCCGUAAACGAUGAGUGCUAGGUGUUGGGGGGUUCCACCCUCAGUGCUGAAGUUAACACAUUAAGCACUCCGCCUGGGGAGUACGACCGCAAGGUUGAAACUCAAAGGAAUUGACGGGGGCCCGCACAAGCAGUGGAGCAUGUGGUUUAAUUCGAAGCAACGCGAAGAACCUUACCAGGUCUUGACAUCCUCUGACCACUCUAGAGAUAGAGCUUUCCCCUUCGGGGGACAGAGUGACAGGUGGUGCAUGGUUGUCGUCAGCUCGUGUCGUGAGAUGUUGGGUUAAGUCCCGCAACGAGCGCAACCCUUGACCUUAGUUGCCAGCAUUCAGUUGGGCACUCUAAGGUGACUGCCGGUGACAAACCGGAGGAAGGUGGGGAUGACGUCAAAUCAUCAUGCCCCUUAUGACCUGGGCUACACACGUGCUACAAUGGAUGGUACAAAGGGUUGCGAAGCCGCGAGGCCAAGCCAAUCCCAAAAAGCCAUUCUCAGUUCGGAUUGUAGGCUGCAACUCGCCUACAUGAAGCCGGAAUUGCUAGUAAUCGCGGAUCAGCAUGCCGCGGUGAAUACGUUCCCGGGCCUUGUACACACCGCCCGUCACACCACGAGAGUUUGUAACACCCGAAGUCGGUGGGGUAACCCUUUUGGGAGCCAGCCGCCGAAAGGUGACCUAGGG